UGGACCCUGCAUUUGAAGUCAGACAGGC
rnacentral:piRNA from 1 species